rnacentral:rRNA from 1 species
UAGGGAAUCUUCCGCAAUGGGCGAAAGCCUGACGGAGCAACGCCGCGUGAGUGAUGAAGGUCUUCGGAUCGUAAAACUCUGUUAUUAGGGAAGAACAAAUGUGUAAGUAACUAUGCACGUCUUGACGGUACCUAAUCAGAAAGCCACGGCUAACUACGUGCCAGCAGCCGCGGUAAUACGUAGGUGGCAAGCGUUAUCCGGAAUUAUUGGGCGUAAAGCGCGCGUAGGCGGUUUUUUAAGUCUGAUGUGAAAGCCCACGGCUCAACCGUGGAGGGUCAUUGGAAACUGGAAAACUUGAGUGCAGAAGAGGAAAGCGGAAUUCCAAGUGUAGCGGUGAAAUGCGCAGAGAUAUGGAGUAACACCAGUGGCGAAGGCGACUUUCUGGUCUGAAACUGACGCUGAUGUGCGAAAGCGUGGGGAUCAAACAGG